rnacentral:rRNA from 1 species
GGAGCGGCCGAUGCCUGAUUAGCUUGUUGGUGAGGUAAAAGCUUACCAAGGCUUCGAUCAGUAGCUGGUCUGAGAGGACGACCAGCCACACUGGGACUGAGACACGGCCCAGACUCCUACGGGAGGCAGCAGUGGGGAAUUUUGGACAAUGGGGGCAACCCUGAUCCAGCCAUGCCGCGUGAGUGAAGAAGGCCUUCGGGUUGUAAAGCUCUUUCAGCCGGAACGAAACGGUUACAGUUAAUAGCUGUAACUACUGACGGUACCGGAAGAAGAAGCACCGGCUAACUACGUGCCAGCAGCCGCGGUAAUACGUAGGGUGCGAGCGUUAAUCGGAAUUACUGGGCGUAAAGCGUGCGCAGGUGGUUUUGUAAGUCAGAUGUGAAAUCCCCGGGCUUAACCUGGGAACU